rnacentral:rRNA from 1 species
UACGUAGGGUGCGAGCGUUAAUCGGAAUUACUGGGCGUAAAGCGUGCGCAGGCGGGCUUUUAAGCCAGACGUGAAAUCCCCGGGCUUAACCUGGGAAUGGCAUUUGGGACUGCAAGGCUCGAGUGCGGCAGAGGAGACUGGAAUUCCUGGUGUAGCAGUGAAAUGCGUAGAUAUCAGGAGGAACACCGAUGGCGAAGGCAGGUCUCUGGGCUGACACUGACGCUCAUGCACGAAAGCGUGGGGAGCAAACGAGG